CUCAAAGCAGGGUAGCUGACACCUCUUUUCAUUACAGUUGGAGCUAAUUUGGAACGGCCUGCAUCUUCCACAGAGUAUUCCUAUGGGCUCAAUAGCCUUUCAUUAGUUGUGAGGUUUAAUUAAUGUUGGAUAAAUCACAAGCUGACUUUUGUUUCCACAGUGAGUUGACUUAAAGCUUUCACCCCCCAGAACAUCACCAGUUGAGACACAACUGAGCUCUUGCAAGCUGAACGCUGUCUGAUGCCGGGGCUGGUGAUAAUGAGAAGAGCUGUCUAGAGAACAAGGAAAGGGGAUGAUGAAGUAUCAGCAUUUUGAUGCUCCACUCAGCUGACAGCGUUGGCUUUGAUGUUAAGACCAAGGUCACCUGCUGUAAGAUUGCCACACCAUGAUUGAUAUUGAUGCUUAUAUUAACACUGAAACUUUUCAGCACAGCAAUUUACUAUGUAUGCUCAACGGGUCACUAGCCCACACUAAUUUGUCUAUCAACAGGGUUUUAGGGCUUGUUAAUUUGGGACUUGAUUUGCUUCUUAAGCCAGUCAGUGGAUCAUGAGCCACAUAUGCUACUUGUAAUUCCUCACAAAGAACUCAGGCAGUUUGGGCAUCCUUGCAUCGUGUUGGCAGCUGCUCCAGAAGAAGAGCAGUGUACGUGUCUGACCAGCUGGGCACAGCGAUGAGGCUGCUGGGGCUCUGUCUGCAGCUUUUAGUAAUUAUCGAGUGACACCUGAUCCAAGUGCAAAGCAGGAGAAAAUUGACCUAGUUUUCAGUAAGCUUUACAAAAGAUGAUCGAUGAAUCGUUCUAGAGAAAAGACAUUACAUGACAGCUCAUCUCACUGAAGAGCCGCACGGCAGUGAGGAGAGUGAGCAGCCCCGCACUGCUUGCCAUCAUGACCUGCAGGAAGGGAAGCAGCAGGAGCCAGCAGUGGCCAGGGGUGCUGAGCCAUGGGGUGCAGGAUGAGGCAGAACACUGCCUGCCCUGAGCUGUCCUUCUCCCUGCUUACCAACCCAUCAUAGUCCCAGAAAGCUGAGAAGUCACUUCAGUAAUUUCAGCAGUUUUUAGAUGAGGAUCCCUUUUGUAACUCAGCCCUAUUUCCUCCAAAUGAAAUUUAAUUCAGGUCAGGGAGCUGGGCAAUACAGUUACUAGUGAUUUGCCAUAUUAUUUUUUUGAUGUCCGUGCUGUUAUUGCUUCAGCCAGGAGGAUCAACAACGCUCACAGAGAACAAAACUUUCAGUAAAUCCUACAGUCAUCUUCUCCAUGUGAGUAAAUACUCAAGACAAAUGAUAUCUGUAACAUUACCUGCAUCGUGCUUUUUUCAUUAAAAAGCCAGCUAAGUCUGCAGCAGAUGUAAUAGCAUGCUUCUAUAGCCUACAGCUUCAAGAUUUCUUUGUAUUAUGCAGACCAUUCAGAUGUAUUUCAUUUUUAAUGCAACUGUUUUACUAUUUGUAAUGAGCAAUCAUAGUAAUAAAAAAAGGAUAGAUGUGCAACAAAUGUCCCUGUAAGCCAUAAAACCUGAUUAUUUGCAGUAUUUAGGUGAAAGCUUAUUCUCCUUUGUUUGUAAAGUUCCAGAUAUGCUUGGAUGCGUUUGCAAUCAAUAAUACAACACUUCACUCCACAAACACAAUGACUGAUCUUCUCGAAGUUCGAGCCUCCUUUAUUUCUGAUGGGAAUGAAA